AUGCACACAGCCAUCUUUUUUGAAGUUGAUGCAAGGCAACGAGGCCAAAAACAUCAAGAUGUAAAUAUAACACAUACUACUGAGUCAUCUUCUUCCACAUCAACGCCUUCAAGAAUGGAUACACGCCCGGCCGGAGACGGCCAUCCGUGUCUCCUAGCGGUAAAAGACAAAGAAAUAACUUUUCCUUGCAGUUCCUUGCGAUGGUUGAUCACUGUUGUCUGCCAUUUCAUCUACUGGAUUGAUGACCCAUCAUACAUCGCACUGACGUUGAUGAUGAUAGUAGAGAUGCAUGCAGCCAUGGAAAAAAGGGUUCCUACUUUUGAUCAUGUUUGGCCGCAACAGGCACCUAGGGGCUAG
rnacentral:rRNA from 1 species